GACGAACGCUGGCGGCGUGCUUAACACAUGCAAGUCGAACGGAAAGGCCCUGCUUUUGUGGGGUGCUCGAGUGGCGAACGGGUGAGUAACACGUGAGUAACCUGCCCUUGACUUUGGGAUAACUUCAGGAAACUGGGGCUAAUACCGUAUAGGAGCUCCUGCUGCAUGGUGGGGGUUGGAAAGUUUCGGCGGUUGGGGAUGGACUCGCGGCUUAUCAGCUUGUUGGUGGGGUAGUGGCUUACCAAGGCUUUGACGGGUAGCCGGCCUGGGAGGGUGACCGGCCACAUUGGGACUGCGAUACGGCCCAGACUCCUACGGGAGGCAGCAGUGGGGAAUAUUGCACAAUGGGCGGAAGCCUGAUGCAGAAACGCCGCGUGCGGGAUGACGGCCUUCGGGUUGUAAACCGCUUUCGCCUGUGACGAAGCGUGAGUGACGGUAAUGGGUAAAGAAGCACCGGCUAACUACGUG
rnacentral:rRNA from 1 species